UAGUCCACGCCGUAAACGAUCAUCACUCGCUGUUGGCGAUACACUGUCAGCGGCCAAGCGAAAGCAUUAAGUGAUGCACCUGGGGAGUACGAUCGCAAGAUUGAAACUCAAAGAAAUUGACGGGGGCCCGCACAAGCGGUGGAACAUGUGGUUUAAUUCGAUGAUACGCGAGGAACCUUACCUGGGCUUAAAUGUAGAGUGCAUAAAUGGGAAACCAUUUUUCCCUUCGGGGCUCUUUACAAGGUGCUGCAUGGUUGUCGUCAGCUCGUGCCGUGAGGUGUCGGGUUAAGUCCCAUAACGAGCGCAACCCUUAUCACUAGUUGCCAUCGGGUCAUGCCGGGGACUCUAGUGAAACUGCCACCGUAAGGUGAGAGGAAGGUGGGGAUGACGUCAAAUCAGCACGGGCCCUUAUGUCCAGGGG
rnacentral:rRNA from 1 species